rnacentral:lncRNA from 1 species
GAUUAGCACACACCCAUCCCUGGGAACUGCUAGUCUGGAAAGCGGGGCUGCUUCUCCGGGAUGAGCCCGAGCCCUGCCAAGCCCCUCAAGGCAUUGAAGCUUUAGCUCACCUUAUCCGAAUGGUCAUUGGGCAUCUGGACUUGAGUUAACGACUGAAUUUUUCUGGGAAGCAAGGGACACGUUCUAAAAUAACCCCAGGAUCACUCUCCGAACUUGGCCUGAGUCUAGGCAAGCAGUGUUACUCGGUCGCCUUGAUCUUGGAGCUGCUGUGUACUGGGGACCUCAUACUAGUUGGGUUAACUAUAUUCCCAUUAGCAGUACGCGGGAUCGCAGUACUCGGGACAAGCUGAGUUCAGGUAUUUGGGUAAGACAACUGCAACACUUCAGAGGUUAUUUGUGGAGUAAGAUGUUCGACCAUACAGUGAAUAAUUCGAAGCUAGGGAGAACAGAUUAGAGUCUGGUAUGAAGAAGAAAGGGAAGGAAAGGAAUAGUUUUGAAGCUCAGCGCUAGAACGACUCGAUGUCCAUGCCAGGGUACCCCGAGUGGGCCUUGAAAUCUUGCGUCUCAGUGCCUUACAGGGAAUGGUAGAAACUGGAAAAUCUACAAGUAAAGUAUUGGGACCUCCUAAUUUUCCUUUUAGAUGGAGGAAAACGGGCUGGGAUUCCCUGCAGCACUUAGCACACGGUGAAUACGUUUGUUAGUAGUAAAUAAAACCCUUAACUGGACUGAGUUUAAUUAACAUUCAAAAUGUUUAAUUACUUCACUAGCAUUAAGUUUACAUCCUGAUUGUUCAGAAAGAACCUAC